rnacentral:rRNA from 1 species
CUGCAUGGGCUGUCGUCAGCUCGUGUCGUGAGAUGUUGGGUUAAGUCCCGCAACGAGCGCAACCCCUAUUGCCAGUUACCAUCAUUAAGUUGGGGACUCUGGCGAGACUGCCGUGGAUAACACGGAGGAAGGUGGGGACGACGUCAAAUCAUCAUGCCCCUUAUGUCCUGGGCUACGACACGUACUACAAUGGCAACAACAAAGAGCAGCAAGUCCGCGAGGCCAAGCGAAUCUCGAAAUGUUGUCCCAGUUCGGAUUGCAGGCUGAAACUCGCCUGCAUGAAGUCGGAAUUGCUAGUAAUGGCAAGGUCAGCAUACUGCCGUGAAUACGUUCCCGGGCCUU